rnacentral:rRNA from 1 species
AACGAACGCUGGCGGCGUGGAUUAGGCAUGCAAGUCGUACGAGAAUCGUAGCAAUACGAGGAAAGUGGCGGAAGGGAGAGGAUUACGUGGGAAUCUACCCUCAGAACUGGGAUAGCGGCGGGAAACUGCCGGUAAUACCAGAUAAUGUCUGUGGACCAAAGGUGUGAUUCCGUCUGGGGAUGAGCCCACGUCCUAUUAGCUAGUUGGCAGGGUAAUGGCCUACCAAGGCAAUGAUGGGUAGCGGGUGUGAGAGCAUGACCCGCCUCACUGGGACUGAGAACUGCCCAGACACCUACGGGUGGCUGCAGUCGAGAAUCUUCGGCAAUGAGCGCAAGCUUGACCGAGCGACGCCGCGUGCGGGAUGAAGGCCUUCGGGUUGUAAACCGCUGUCGUAGGGGAGCAAGAGAUGAGGGUACUCCCUCUGAUUUGAGCGAUCCCUGGAGGAAGGACGGGCUAAGUUCGUGCCAGCCGCCGCAGUAACAC